UUAAUAUUCCUGUACUUGGUGUUACUGCGAAGGGGGGACGGAGAAGGCUAUGUUAGCCGGGCGACGGUUGUCCCGGUUUAAGCAUGUAGGCUGAUUGUCCAGGCAAAUCCGGAUAAUCAAGGCUGAGGUGUGAUGACGAGGCACUACGGUGCUGAAGUAACAAAUGCCCUGCUUCCAGGAAAAGCCUCUAAGCAUCAGGUAACAUCAAAUCGUACCCCAAACCGACACAGGUGGUCAGGUAGAGAAUACCAAGGCGCUUGAGAGAACUCGGGUGAAGGAACUAGGCAAAAUGGUGCCGUAACUUCGGGAGAAGGCACGCUGGUGUGUAGGUGAAGCCCCUGCGGGUGGAGCUGAGACCAGUCGAAGAUACCAGCUGGCUGCAACUGUUUAUUAAAAACACAGCACUGUGCAAACACGAAAGUGGACGUAUACGGUGUGACGCCUGCCCGGUGCCGGAAGGUUAAUUGAUGGGGUUAUCCGUAAGGAGAAGCUCUUGAUCGAAGCCCCGGUAAACGGCGGCCGUAACUAUAACGGUCCUAAGGUAGCGAAAUUCCUUGUCGGGUAAGUUCCGACCUGCACGAAUGGCGUAAUGAUGGCCAGGCUGUCUCCACCCGAGACUCAGUGAAAUUGAACUCGCUGUGAAGAUGCAGUGUACCCGCGGCAAGACGGAAAGACCCCGUGAACCUUUACUAUAGCUUGACACUGAACAUUGAGCCUUGAUGUGUAGGAUAGGUGGGAGGCUUUGAAGCGUGGACGCCAGUCUGCGUGGAGCCAACCUUGAAAUACCACCCUUUAAUGUUUGAUGUUCUAACGUUGGCCCCUUACCGGGGUUGCGGACAGUGUCUGGUGGGUAGUUUGACUGGGGCGGUCUCCUCCCAAAGCGUAACGGAGGAGCACGAAGGUUAGCUAAUCCUGGUCGGACAUCAGGAGGUUAGUGCAAUGGCAUAAGCUAGCUUGACUGCGAGCGUGACGGCGCGAGCAGGUGCGAAAGCAGGUCAUAGUGAUCCGGUGGUUCUGAAUGGAAGGGCCAUCGCUCAACGGAUAAAAGGUACUCCGGGGAUAACAGGCUGAUACCGCCCAAGAGUUCAUAUCGACGGCGGUGUUUGGCACCUCGAUGUCGGCUCAUCACAUCCUGGGGCUGAAGUAGGUCCCAAGGGUAUGGCUGUUCGCCAUUUAAAGUGGUACGCGAGCUGGGUUUAGAACGUCGUGAGACAGUUCGGUCCCUAUCUGCCGUGGGCGCUGGAGAAUUGAGGGGGGCUGCUCCUAGUACGAGAGGACCGGAGUGGACGCAUCACUGGUGUUCGGGUUGUCAUGCCAAUGGCACUGCCCGGUAGCUAAAUGCGGAAGAGAUAAGUGCUGAAAGCAUCUAAGCACGAAACUUGCCCCGAGAUGAGUUCUCCCUGAGACUUUAAGUCUCCUGAAGGAACGUUAAAGACGAUGACGUUGAUAGGCCGGGUGUGUAAGCGCAGCGAUGCGUUGAGCUAACCGGUACUAAUGAACCGUGAGGCUUAACCUU
rnacentral:rRNA from 1 species